rnacentral:rRNA from 1 species
UACGUAGGGGGCUAGCGUUGUCCGGAAUCACUGGGCGUAAAGGGCGCGUAGGUGGCGCUCCAAGUCUGUGGUGAAAGCUCGAUGCUCAACAUCGAGUCGGCCAUAGAGACUGGAGGGCUCGAGCACUGUAGGGGGCAGAUGGAAUUCCGGGUGUAGCGGUGGAAUGCGUAGAGAGUCCGGAAGAACACCGGUGGCGAAGGCGGUCUGCUGGGGCAG